CGAGCAAGGCCGCGUGAACGAUGAAGUAUUUCGGUAUGUAAAGUUCUUUUAUUGAAGAAGAAAAAAUAGUGGAAAAACUAUCUUGACGAUAUUCAAUGAAUAAGCCCCGGCAAACUAUGUGCCAGCAGCCGCGGUAAUACAUAGGGGGCGAGCGUUAUCCGGAAUUAUUGGGCGUAAAGGGUGCGUAGGCGGUUUGGUAAGUCUAUAGUUUAAUUUCAGUGCUUAACACUGUUCUGCUAUAGAAACUAUCAGACUAGAGUGAGAUAGAGGCAAGUGGAAUUCCAUGUGUAGCGGUAAAAUGCGUAAAUAUAUGGAGGAACACCAGAGGCGUAGGCGGCUUGCUGGGUCUUUACUGACGCUGAGGCACGAAAGCGUGGGGAGCAAACAGGAUUAGAUACCCUGGUAGUCCACGCCGUAAACGAUGAGUACUAAGUGUCGGGGAAACUCGGUACUGAAGUUAACACAUUAAGUACUCCGCCUGAGUAGUACGUACGCAAGUAUGAAACUUAAAGGAAUUGACGGGACUCCGCACAAGCGGUGGAUCAUGUUGUUUAAUUCGAAGAUACACGAAAAACCUUACCAGGUCUUGACAUACUCUGCAAAGCUAUAGCAAUAUAGUGGAGGUUAUCAGGGAUACAGGUGGUGCAUGGUUGUCGUCAGCUCGUGUCGUGAGAUGUUAGGUUAAGUCCUAAAACGAGCGCAACCCUUGUCACUAGUUGCCAGCAUGUUAUGAUGGGCACUUUAACGAGACUGCCAA
rnacentral:rRNA from 1 species